rnacentral:rRNA from 1 species
UACGUAGGGGGCGAGCGUUGUCCGGAUUCAUUGGGCGUAAAGAGCUCGUAGGCGGUUCAGUAAGUCGGGUGUGAAAUCUCCGUGCUCAACACGGAGCGGCCACCUGAUACUGCUGUGACUCGAGUCCGGUAGGGGAGUGUGGAAUUCCCGGUGUAGCGGUGAAAUGCGCAGAUAUCGGGAGGAACACCAGUAGCGAAGGCGGCACUCUGGGCCGUGACUGACACUCAACUACGAAAGCGUGGGGAGCAAACAGG